UCCCCGCUCUGGUUUCUACUAGAUGACGUAUUACUCUACACCUGAUGUCUAGACAGCUAUCUCCGAGACGUAACCUCAGCUGGGAUGCUCAGGGAACAGACUCUGGCUAGCCAGAAAAGCCCUUUUUCUACUUGAGUCAUGGUCAGAAACUACAUGACAACACACUGAUUCUAGGUUUGAUUUAACAGUUGACUAUGGCUGCUCAGUGCUUUUGGACCACGGUUAAUAUGAUGAGCUGAGCCUGCCGAUACCCCCUGUGGUCAUUGGUGUUGGGUGCAGUGGGCUGCUAAGGGCAUGAGCCCUGGAUUUCCCUGUGUAAAUAAAUCUCCUAAUUUCUUUGCUUGUGUUUUACCUUUUUUUUCUCUUCAAAGUCAUACUGAUUCAUAAGAGGACUUGACUUUUUUUAAAUGGAGUUUGGUUUUUGUUUUUUCCUGUCGCAUCACCCCAGGGACUGAGAAGUGAUCGACAACUUGGGUUCCCCUGAGGUCACUUUGCUUUGUGAGAUGUUACCUCUGCAUAGCCCAUUCUGCUUGUCAUAGUCUGUGCAAGUCUACUGUAUCCACUGUAAGUGACCUCCCCCCCCAGCCACCUCAGUGCACAUGGUGCACAGUCGGCACUUGGUCAGCGUCUGGGGACUGAUGCCAGAGUGCGAGGGAAGACCCGUGCGGAGCCCGUGUCCUUUGCUGGAUAUGGAAAGAGCUGAGUCAAUGUUCCACUUUGGGCUCAGCAGUGAGUCGCGUGUCUCUGUAGAGUCAGCCUCUUAGCAAAUGACUGAAUUAGGCUAGGUCUCUCCACUCUAACUCAGCUUUAUCAGGCAACUGGAUUAAAAAAAAAAAAGAUAGUGGUGAAGAAAAUUGGGGAAAAUGCCAGAGAUUGAACUUGGUUGAGGACCCAAGUCCCACUUACUCUGUCACCGGCCUGACUUAGCACCCAGAGGAAGACCCUUUUUUUCUUUCUUUCUUUCUUUUUUUUUUUUUUGGAAGACGGGAUCCAGGAUCUCUCUGUGUAGCCCUGGCUGUCCAACCACUUGCUUAUAGACCAGACUAACCUCUAACUCAGACUGCCUCUGCCUCCUGAGUGCUGGGAUUAAAGGCGUGUGCCACCACGCCCAGCCUGUCCUUUUUCACUCUUAAGUAGCUGAUAUUGUAGAGUGAGUUGCAGGUCUCUGGCACUGUUACACAGUAGAUUCCAGAAAGAAUGUAAAUCUAGUAAGACACUCAUUUCUUUUGUGGCCCUCACAUUUUAUGUUAUUAAGAUGUUUUGAUACUUGUGGUUAUAAACUCUUGGAUUCCAUGUACUGUGGUGACCCCCAGACCCCAACAGACUUAGAAAACAAAUAAAAGCAGGUCC
rnacentral:lncRNA from 1 species